rnacentral:rRNA from 1 species
UAUCAAUAAGCGGAGGAAAAGAAACUAACAAGGAUUCCCCUAGUAACAGCGAGUGAAGAGGGAUCAGCCCAAAUUUGUAAUCUGGCUCUUUUCAGAGUCUGAGUUGUAAUUUUGAGAACUGUUUUCUGCUCUGGACCAUGUACAAGUCUGUUGAAAUGCAGCAUCAUUGAGGGUGAGAAUCCUGUUCAUGAUAUGGACUACCAGAGCUUUAUGAUAUAGUCUCUAAGAGUCGAGUUGUUUGGGAAUGCAGCUCAAAGUGGGUGGUAAAUUCCAUCUAAGGCUAAAUAUUGGUGAGAGACCGAUAGCAAACAAGUACCGUGAGGGAAAGAUGAAAAGAACUUUGGAAAGAGAGUUAACAGUACGUGAAAUUGUUAAAAGGGAAACAGUUGAAGUUAGACUUGUUGUUGUUGGUUCAGCUCUUUUAAGGGUGUUUUYUAAUAAUUAACAAACCAAUGUCAAUUUUUGGGUGUUGGAUAAGGGUUAUUGAAAUGUAGCAGUUUUGGCUGUGUUAUAGUCUUUGACUUGGAUACAAUGCUUAGGAUUGAGGAUUGCAGUAAGCCAUUUAUUUGGUGGAACAAUUUAUUGUUCUUCUUGCUGAGGAUAUUGGUGAAAUAGCUUUAAUUGACCCGU